UUCCGGUGAAGUGCGUGCUUGACAAGUGU
rnacentral:sRNA from 1 species